GUGAGGAAUUUUCCGCAAUGGGCGAAAGCCUGACGGAGCAAUGCCGCGUGAAGGAUGAAGGCCUAUGGGUUGUAAACUUCUUUUCUCAGAAAAGAAUUAUGACGGUAUCUGAGGAAUAAGCAUCGGCUAACUCUGUGCCAGCAGCCGCGGUAAGACAGAGGAUGCAAGCGUUAUCCGGAAUGAUUGGGCGUAAAGCGUCUGUAGGUUGUUUAAAAAGUAUUCUGUCGAAGAUUAGGGCUUAACCCUAGAUAGGCAGAAUAAACUUUUAAGCUAGAGUUUGGUAGAGGCAGAGGGAAUUCCCGGUGGAGCGGUGAAAUGCGUAGAUAUCGGGAGGAACACCAAAGGCGAAGGCACUCUGCUGGGCCAAUACUAACACUGAGAGACGAAAGCGAGGGGAGCAAAUGGGAUUAGAAACCCGUGUAGUCC
rnacentral:rRNA from 1 species